rnacentral:rRNA from 1 species
UACGAAGGGGGCUAGCGUUGCUCGGAAUCACUGGGCGUAAAGGGUGCGUAGGCGGGUCUUUAAGUCAGGGGGGAAAUCCUGGAGCUCAACUCCAGAACUGCCUUUGAUACUGAGGAUCUUGAGUUCGGGAGAGGUGAGUGGAACUGCGAGUGUAGAGGUGAAAUUCGUAGAUAUUCGGAAGAACACCAGUGGCGAAGGCGGCUCACUGGACCGGUAUUGACGCUGAUGUGCGAAAGCGUGGGGAGCAAACAGG